AGAUGCAGCCUGAGGAAUCUUAACACAAGAUCCACAACCAUCAAAAGACCACCCAUGGUAAGAACACUGCAACUUCCCAUCUUCAUCAAUCCUUCCUUCCUACAAAAACAAAACACCCAACUUUUAUCACAAAAACUAAAAGGAAGCUAAAAUAGCCAAAAACUACAUAUAAUAAGCCACUCUGACUCCAUAAGUUAGUUUUUGUUAUUGGUUGAUUUAUAUUCGAAACUAAACUCUUACAUGUAUCGGAUAUUAUACUUUAUUUGGUUUAUUAGGUCAUCCCUUAUCGAGUCAUUAUUAAACCACUUGAUUUGCAAAUUUUACCCCUUCGAAAUGUUCAGUACUUGGUAUCAGAAAGAUUCUACAUUUAUUAGUGAUUUACCCAAAUUAUCAUAUAUAAAAUAGAUUAAAUAGAGCUUAAACCCUCAAAUAAAAUAACACACACACACAUAUAUAUAUAGAGAGAGAGAUAGAGAGAGAGAGAGAGUUAUACUCACAGAUAAAGGGGCAAGACGAUGGGGGCAUUUGUCAUCAAAAGCAACCCAUUGGGAAGUGGACUUGUCGUACCAGAGCACGAUUUCACGACCCAGAAGCUGAAAAGGUGUGGGUAAGAGAGGGUUCAGAUCCUCAAUUAACGAAACAGGGUACCAGUGAUCCCUCCAAGUGAACUUAGAGGAAGAGCUCUCCUCGUUAAACUCUUCCUCAUUCUCCUCCUUUUCGGUUUCAGGGAACGACUGAUCGGUUUCAACCGUUGAGGGUGGCGCCGCAACGCGUGCAGGGGUAAGCAAAGGGCUUCUUCCGCUUCUGGGUCGAGUUUCUUUCGUGAAAAAUUCGGUACCCUUGUUCGAGAAGAAGGGAAAGGAAUUCACUUUAUUGGUGGUGGGUUUGUUCACCGAGGAGGAAAGCGUGAGCGUGGUUGAUAACGCAGAGAUGGAGUGUGGGAGUGCCAUCAAUGGUUUUGUAGUUAAUUUUUCUGAGACGUUAAGGUUUGAGGAAUUGUACACAGGGGUUCAUGCGGGAUAUGUUAAUAAGAGAAUCGAAGACCAAGGUUUUUGAGUCGUGCAAGCUUCAAAUGUUUCUUUCUUCUGCUCUUUCGGUUUCAGACAAAACACUGUUCAGAUGUGUCAUUCUCGGAGAACUUUAAUUUUCUUAGUUUAGCUAAUUAACUAAAUUAGCGAGUGCUUACUGUAAAAUUUACGAAGAAAAAUAAAACUUGGAAAAGUUUUGGCGUCGAUUUCUGUCUCUAAUUAAUAUUUUGAGAAAUUUUGUUGUUUUAUUUUCCAGCUGAGGAGGAAAAGAAGUGAAAUCAUUCGGUGGAAUGAUUCAUGUCCACAAGUUUGAAGGGUAUCUUACACGUGGGUGAAUAUUUGUGUGUAGAAGAGAAAAGAAGACACUGAAAACAGUGAGAUCUGUCCAUGUUCAUGUGUGUACUGGUUUCGGUUUAUGCCUUGCUUGCCAAACA
rnacentral:lncRNA from 1 species